UACGGGGGGGGCAAGCGUUGUUCGGAAUUACUGGGCGUAAAGGGCUUGUAGGUGGCCAACUAAGUCAGACGUGAAAUCCCUCGGCUUAACCGAGGAACUGCCUCCCAAACUGCUUGGCUCGAGACCGGGAGAGGUGAGUGGAAUUCCCAGUGUAGCGGUGAAAUGCGUAGAUAUUGGGAGGAACACCAGUGGCGAAGGCGGUCUGCUGGGCAGUAGCUGACGCUGAGGCGCGACAGCGUGGGGAGCGAACAGG
rnacentral:rRNA from 1 species